rnacentral:rRNA from 1 species
UACGUAGGUGGCAAGCGUUGUCCGGAAUUAUUGGGCGUAAAGCGUGCGCAGGCGGUUCGUUAUGUCCGAUGUGAAAGCCCCGAGCUCAACUUGGGAAUGGCAUUGGAAACUGGCGGGCUGGAGUGUGGCAGAGGGGGGUGGAAUUCCACGUGUAGCAGUGAAAUGCGUAGAGAUGUGGAGGAACACCGAUGGCGAAGGCAGCCCCCUGGGCCAACACUGACGCUCAGGCACGAAAGCGUGGGGAGCAAACAGG